CCCGCACAAGCGGCGGAGCAUGUGGUUUAAUUCGAAGCAACGCGAAGAACCUUACCAGGUCUUGACAUCCCGAUGCUAUUUCUAGAGAUAGAAAGUUACUUCGGUACAUCGGUGACAGGUGGUGCAUGGUUGUCGUCAGCUCGUGUCGUGAGAUGUUGGGUUAAGUCCCGCAACGAGCGCAACCCUUAUCUUUAAUUGCCAGCAUUCAGUUGGGCACUUUAAAGAGACUGCCGGUGUUAAACCGGAGGAAGGUGGGAUGACGUCAAGUCCUCAUGGCCUUUAUGCUUAGGGCUACACACGUGCUACAAUGGGUGGUACAAAGAGAAGCCAACUCGCGAGAGCGCGCCAAUCUCAAAAAGCCAUCCUCAGUUCGGAUUGGAGUCUGCAACUCGACUCCAUGAAGUUGGAAUCGCUAGUAAUCGCGGAUCAGCAUGCCGCGGUGAAUACGUUCCCGGGCCUU
rnacentral:rRNA from 1 species